rnacentral:tRNA from 1 species
GGCAGAGCUCUGGAUUGUGGCUCCAGCGGUUGUGGGUUCAAGCCCCAUCGAUCACCC